GACGGAGGGUGCGAGCGUUAUUCGGAAUUAUUGGGCGUAAAGAGCGUGUAGGCGGUCGGUCAAGUCAGAUGUGAAAUCCCAGGGCUCAACCCUGGAAGUGCAUUUGAAACUGGUCGACUUGAGUUCGGGAGAGGGAAGUGGAAUUCCGGGUGUAGAGGUGAAAUUCGUAGAUAUCCGGAGGAACACCGGUGGCGAAGGCGACUUCCUGGACCGAAACUGACGCUGAGACGCGAAAGCGUGGGGAGCAAACAGG
rnacentral:rRNA from 1 species